rnacentral:ncRNA from 1 species
CUGUUGGAGAGUGACAACGCAAAAGGCGGCGUCCACCGAAGGGGCAAACCCCGAGCCGAUGCUCACGGGUGAAUCUCUCAGGUCCAAGGACAACAG